rnacentral:rRNA from 1 species
GACGAACGCUGGCGGCGUGCUUAACACAUGCAAGUCGAACGGAAAGGCCCUGCUUUUGUGGGGUGCUCGAGUGGCGAACGGGUGAGUAACACGUGAGUAACCUGCCCUUGACUGUGGGAUAACUUCAGGAAACUGGUGCUAAUACCGGAUAGGAGCGCCUGCUGCAUGGUGGGGGUUGGAAAGUUUAGGCGGUUGGGGGUGGACUCGCGGCUUAUCAGCUUGUUGGUGGGGUAGUGGCUUACCAAGGCUUUGACGGGUAGCCGGCCUGGGAGGGUGACCGGCCACAUUGGGACUGAGAUACGGCCCAGACUCCUACGUGAGGCAGCAGUGGGGAAUAUUGCACAAUGGGCGGAAGCCUGAUGCAGCAACGCCGCGUGCGGGAUGCCGGCCUUCGGGUUGUAAACCGCUUUAGCCUGUGACGAAGCGUGAGUGACGGUACUGGGUAAAGAAGCACCGGCUAACUACGUG